UGCUGCCAGGCUCUCUAUUUGUCUGAUGCCCAGGAGGGGAGACAGGGCUGGUCUCCAGGAGGCCGCCCUAAUCUUAGAAGGCAUUUGCGAGGUGCAUGCAGUCUUCAAGCAGUGGAUGGGGGCUCUGUCUUCAAUGAGAGGGAGUGAAACCUGAGGGAGCCCUGGAAGGGCUCAGGGGUCCUGGGGCUCAAAGCUCUCAAGUCCCAAUCUCCCCAUCCUAGACUGUCCUUCCUGAUCUGGGCCUUGAAGUUUGCCGGCCUGCGCGGGAAGGAGAGAAAUUUCACACCCAAGUUGCUGUUGGACCUGCCUAGUACAGACCUGGGGCUCCAGUCAAUGGGGACAGACAUUUAGGCAGCAAAAAGAAAAAAGAAUUUCUGCUCGACAAGACUGGAAAACCCAGCAUCUGAGUGCUCCUCGGAAGGUCUGGAGGAUACUUGCCAAGAUGAUCACUCACUCUGGGAGAAGCCAGGUUGUGAACAGGCCUCUGGAGAUGCCCACGAGGUGAGGAGCUGAGGUCUCCUGCCAACAGUCCCGUGACUGAGCAACCUGGAAAGUGGAUCUUCCAGCCCCACUCAAGCCUCCAGAGACCGAUGCCCAGGGUAACAGCUCAACUGCAACCUCACAAAGGUCCUUGAACUGCAACACCCAGCAAGUUGCUCCCAGAUUCCUCACUCCCAGAACUGGUGGGCCGUGAUGCAUGUUUGCUGCUUUAUGCUGUUCAGGUAUGUGGUCAUUUGUGACACAGCAAUGGUGAUUCAUACACCAGCUAACUGCACCUCUAACUCCUGACUCUGUUCUGUCAGCUGGGAGCUGUGUCCGCUCCCAGCAGGGUACUCCCACUUUCUUCUCCUCAUCAGCCUCCACCUCCCUCCAGCCCCCUGGCCCUGGCUCAGCAAGAGUCACCAAUAAGGGCCAGCACUGACCAUAACAGAAGGAAGGGCAAGGCUCAGGGAAACCAGGGAACCUCAAAGUCCUGACCCCUGGCCUGAGAAGAAAACUUGACCUUCUCCCCUCUGCCCACAUGGCUUACUUAACUCUUCCCGACACUGAAAUCUCUUUCCCUCCAUCCUGCUUAUCCCACUGCAGAGGAGCCAAGCAGCCACUUCCUUUUCCAAACUGCCUGAGGACCAUCACUUUCCUGGUUCAGUCCUGAUCUCUUCCCUGUGUCCCAGCACCAGAGACCAGUAUUCCUUGGGAAGCUAUAUUCCACCAUCAACUGCCAUCAUUUGCUGAGAGUCCCUGCAGAAAAUAGAAGGGAAGACCUCCCACUGACUGCCCAGGCCAGGACGGCUGCCCCUGGGCACACAGCUUGGAGUGGAAUUUUCAGAGCUCCUUGGUGGGCACUUGAUGAGUCCUCUCCAGUUGGAGGCUUCCACUCUUCUGCUGGCAAUUUUCUUGUCUUAUUUCUUAGCAAAUAGCUCUCCUUUCUCUGUUCUCUCCUUUUGCAGCUCCAAAGAGUAGGAUACUGGAUCGUCUGGACCAGACUUCUAGUUGUCUUUUCUCUCUGUCAAUCUCUUUUUCUAGAUACUCCCUCCACCCUGCCUUCUAUCUCAUCUAUUAGGAAUCCAAGUGCUUGGAUGACCUCUUCCUUGUCUCUUAGAUCCAAUAUCCUCUCUCACAUCCCUGAUAAUAUUAAUGACAGUUUCAUUAAGAGCUUCUCUUCUGCUCCUUUCUCUCUGAGUCCUCUGAUGCCUGUUUUCUGUUUGGUUCCACACUGGUACAUUCAUUCACAUGGUCAGGGAUUCUGGGUAAUCUGUUCAGAGUCAAGAGAGUAGCACUAAAGUGCUCUCUGAAGAUUUCUUGGGGGGAGGGGGCUUUACGCUGGUGGGAAGAGCAGAUUUCUUGUGGGGUAACCUCAUAGGUCAGUGUUUCCAGGUCUCUUCUCUAGGGACAUGUGCUCUCCCUAAAGCAUGGAGGUCCUGCUGCCAUCUUCCUGGGUGCAGAGUUGGGAAGGCGCUUUGUGGGUUCUCUUAGUGUGAAGUCUUUCUUCUUCUACCCUCGCCCUUCUCAGUCCAGAAUCCCACCCCCACCUCCUUCUGUCCCUGGAGUCCCUGAGACCAGAGCCACCCCUUCUCCACUUUCUCCAAAGAGCAAAACUUCAGGCUUGUCUGGAGACUGCAGAGGAGGAAACCUGGGGUCCCACCCACUUCCUGGACAGAGUCUGAAUCAACCCCUCCAUUUUAUUCUUGCCUUGACCACCCUUACAUCAUCUGCCUCUUGUGAUGCCAGCUGCUACCCACUUUCCAGGCUCCUGGGUUCCAGAGUGGACAGACCUGAUCCUUGGCAGUGGAUUCCACCCCACCCCUACAGAGCCUUAGGUCCUGGCUUCCUCUUCUCCAUCCUACCCUCUCACAUCUUAGCCUACCUCCUCUCCAUCCUACCCGCUCACAUUUCAGCCUACUCAUGGGGAAAGAGGAGGUAGCUGUGGCUCCCUCUCCCAUGCUGUUGCAAGGCAGAAAUGAGGUCACCAUGGUGCCAUUGUUAGGGGAAGCACACUGACUGAAAUAGCCCACCCUGGCCAGGCACCAUAGUAACCGUUUGCGUGAGUUAUUUUACAACAGGAGGUCCUGGUAAAGAAUGAGGAACUAACAGGCCACCAC